rnacentral:rRNA from 1 species
AAUCCUAUCCAUCGAAAGCCUAAGGUUUCCAGGGGAAGGCUCGUCCGCCCUGGGUUAGUCGGGACCUAAGGAGAGACCGAAAGGUGUAUCCGAUGGACAACAGGUUGAUAUUCCUGUACUAGAGUAUAUAGUGAUGGAGGGACGCAGUAGGCUAACUAAACCAGACGAUUGGAAGUGUCUGGCCAAGCAGUGAGGUGUGAUAUGAGUCAAAUGCUUAUAUCUCUAACAUUGAGCUGUGAUGGGGAGCGAAGUUUAGUAGCGAAGUUAGUGAUGUCACACUGCCGAGAAAAGCUUCUAGCGUUAAUUAUACUCUACCCGUACCGCAAACCGACACAGGUAGUCGAGGCGAGUAGCCUCAGGUGAGCGAGAGAACUCUCGUUAAGGAACUCGGCAAAAUGGCCCCGUAACUUCGGGAGAAGGGGCGCUGACUUAUGGUCAGCCGCAGUGAAUAGGCCCAAGCAACUGUUUAUCAAAAACACAGCUCUCUGCUAAAUCGUAAGAUGAUGUAUAGGGGGUGACGCCUGCCCGGUGCUGGAAGGUUAAGAGGAGUGCUUAGCGUAAGCGAAGGUAUGAAUUGAAGCCCCAGUAAACGGCGGCCGUAACUAUAACGGUCCUAAGGUAGCGAAAUUCCUUGUCGGGUAAGUUCCGACCCGCACGAAAGGCGUAAUGAUUUGGGCACUGUCUCAACGAGAGACUCGGUGAAAUUUUAGUACCUGUGAAGAUGCAGGUUACCCGCGACAGGACGGAAAGACCCCAUGGAGCUUUACUGCAGUUUGAUAUUGAGUAUCUGUACCACAUGUACAGGAUAGGUAGGAGCCUAUGACCUCGGGACGCCAGUUUCGAGUGAGGCGUUGUUGGGAUACUACCCUUGUGUUAUGGCUACUCUAACCCAGAUAGGUUAUCCCUAUCGGAGACAGUGUCUGACGGGCAGUUUGACUGGGGCGGUCGCCUCCUAAAAGGUAACGGAGGCGCCCAAAGGUUCCCUCAGAAUGGUUGGAAAUCAUUCGCAGAGUGUAAAGGUAUAAGGGAGCUUGACUGCGAGAGCUACAACUCGAGCAGGGACGAAAGUCGGGCUUAGUGAUCCGGUGGUUCCGCAUGGAAGGGCCAUCGCUCAACGGAUAAAAGCUACCCUGGGGAUAACAGGCUUAUCUCCCCCAAGAGUUCACAUCGACGGGGAGGUUUGGCACCUCGAUGUCGGCUCA